GCGUCCGUAGCUCAGUCGGCAGAGCAGCUUCCUUUUAAGUAGCGGGUCGGGGUUCGAUUCCCUCCGGGCGCACCG
rnacentral:tRNA from 3 species